rfam:Hebeloma cylindrosporum h7 unplaced genomic scaffold scaffold_81, whole genome shotgun sequence.
UCGGGUAUGGUGUAACGGCUAACAUUGCCGCCUCUCAUACCAGAUCGCGGCAGCUCGGGGUUCGAUUCCCCGUACCCGAA